rnacentral:rRNA from 1 species
UACGGAGGGUGCAAGCGUUGUCCGGAUUUAUUGGGUUUAAAGGGUGCGUAGGCGGCCCGUUAAGUCAGUGGUGAAAGCCUCCAGCUCAACUGGAGAACUGCCAUUGAUACUGGCGGGCUUGAGUACAGACGAGGUAGGCGGAAUUGAUUGUGUAGCGGUGAAAUGCAUAGAUACAAUCAAGAACACCGAUUGCGUAGGCAGCUUUCUAGGCUGUAACUGACGCUGAGGCACGAAAGCGUGGGGAGCGAACAGG